rnacentral:lncRNA from 14 species
CUACUGCGAAUACUGUGACAGUACUGGCAAGUGUAAUUUGGUUCUCUAACAUAUGCUCCUAUUCUUUAAAACACCGAAUCACAGCAUCUGCUAGGUUGGAAAAGGCCUUUAAGACCUUCAACCCAGUAACUGCCCUCACACUCCUCAGGACAGCAGAUUAAGUUAGCUGCUUAAAAUGUGGCUAUGGAAGCACAAAAAUUAGGAAAAGAGAGCAAUUUUUGAUGACACGUGUAUGAGAAUGUUGAGCACUUUGUGGCUUUGCUGAAAGAUGUGUACAACAGGCCCCUGAUCAGCGGCCCAACGCUAGAAAGGAGGUGCAAACCCCACCAAAGGGCCGCCCCAAGCAAGCCAGGGCUGGUCGGGCUGAAGGACUCAGAUCCAUCUCUCAGCAGGGAGACCUGCUUUUAUCUCCCGCCACCAGCCCCUCUGCCCCUGCCCGCGCAGUAGGCAGCGCUGGUUGCGGCCAGGCUCUCCCCUCCAGCUGGCCUGCUGCAGCGCGGGGCUCAGGCUGCACAGGAUGGAGGCCCCCUCCUGCGCUGAGGGGAGCCGCGCGCCACGCAGGGGCCAGAGGCGGCAGCCGGGGAGAGCAGUGGGAAGCGGAGCAGGCAUGAGCGGCGGUGGCGAGGACAGCAGCAGCGACGAGACCAUCGUGGAGGCUUCCGUGCCGGAAAGCGAUGUGGACGACGAGGAAUUCCUCUGGAGGCCGAGGUUGCCUUUUCUUAGUGAGGAUUUGCAUUUAAGAGCAGAAACAAGAAUUCAUAAAGGAAUUGCUUCUCCAGAAAUCUGUUUUAUACCGAAGUUUUGUGAUCACACAUAUAGUCAGAAGCAACAACACAUAAAUCCAAUAUUUCAAGAGGCAUACACAUCUGACCAGUCUCAGUCUCUCCUGCAGUGAGUAUUAUAGGUCACACAGGAAGUCCAGUCAGGUGGACUAUAAUUAAACAAUUAAAUUCUAGUUCCCUUUGUAUGUUACUUUAUUAUAAAUAUUCUAUUGUGAAGUAGUUUCCUUGUUUGCUUAGUGAAGCAUCUAUAUUUAUGUCAGUGGCAAUUCUGUUUCCAGUAUGGGUCAAACUGUACUUGUUUUCAUUGGUGAUAUUUCCUUCAAUGAUAUAAGGGUGUAAGCAACAGGAAUGACUGUGAGCUACUCAGGGAUUAGACAUUAGACAAAUAAACAAAACAUUUGUAACA